CGGAUAUUAGCUUGCUAAUAUUGUCAGCUAAGUGGCGCACGGGUGAGUAAUAUAUAGUUAAUCUGCCCCAAAGAAGAGAAUAAUUGUUGGAAACGACUUGUAACGCUCUAUAUGCCUUUAUUACAUAAGUAAGCAAGGGAAACAUUUAUGGCUUUGGGAUGAGACUGUACGGUAUCAGCUAGUUGGUGAGGUAAUGGCUCACCAAGGCUAUGACACCUAACUGGUUUGAGAGGAUGAUCAGUCACACUGGAACUGAGACACGGUCCAGACUCCUACGGGAGGCAGCAGUGGGGAAUAUUGCACAAUGGAGGAAACUCUGAUGCAGCAACGCCGCGUGGAGGAUGACACAUUUCGGUGCGUAAACUCCUUUUAUAUGAGAAGAUAAUGACGGUAUCAUAUGAAUAAGCACCGGCUAACUCCGUGCCAGCAGCCGCGGUAAUACGGGGGGUGCAAGCGUUACUCGGAAUCACUGGGCGUAAAGAGCAUGUAGGCUGGUUUGUAAGUUGGAAGUGAAAUCCUAUGGCUUAACCAUAGAACUGCUUCCAAAACUGCAGACCUAGAAUAUGGGAGAGGUAGAUGGAAUUUCUGGUGUAGGGGUAAAAUCCGUAGAGAUCAGAAGGAAUACCGAUUGCGAAGGCGAUCUACUGGAACAUUAUUGACGCUGA
rnacentral:rRNA from 1 species